rnacentral:misc_RNA from 1 species
UCGUAACAAGGUCUCCGUAGGUGAACCUGCGGAGGGAUCAUUACACAAUAAAAUACGAAGGCCGUUCGCGGCUGGACUAUUUAUUACCCUUGUCUUUUGCGCACUUGUUGUUUCCUGGGCGGGUUCGCUCGCCACCAGGACCACAAUAUAAACCUUUUUUAUGCAGUUGCAAUCAGCGUCAGUAUAACAAAUGUAAAUCAUUUACAACUUUCAACAACGGAUCUCUUGGUUCUGGCAUCGAUGAAGAACGCAGCGAAAUGCGAUACGUAGUGUGAAUUGCAGAAUUCAGUGAAUCAUCGAAUCUUUGAACGCACAUUGCGCCCUUUGGUAUUCCAAAGGGCAUGCCUGUUCGAGCGUCAUUUGUACCCUCAAGCUUUGCUUGGUGUUGGGCGUUUUUGUCCCCCCCAAAAAGGGGACUCGCCUUAAAAGGAUUGGCAGCCGGCCUACUGGUUUCGCAGCGCAGCACAUUUUUGCGCUUGCAAUCAGCAAAAGAGGACGGCAAUCCAUCAAGACUCCUUCUCACGUUUGACCUCGGAUCAGGUAGGGAUACCCGCUGAACUUAAGCAUAUCAAUAA